AGGUGCAGGAGGCGGGGAGCGGCGCCACCAGGGAAGGAAGCUGAGGCGAAACGAGGAGGUGGCGGGAGGAGGAGACAGCGGGGAAAAGGUGUCAGAUAAAGGAGGGCUCUCCUCCGGUUUGGAGGCAUCAUGGCCGCUAAGUCAGACGGGAGGCUGAAAAUGAAGAAGAGCAGCGACGUGGCGUUCACUCCGCUGCAGAAUUCGGACCACUCGGGCUCAGUGCAGGGUUUAGCUCCGGGCUUGCCGUCGGGGUCGGGAGCUGAGGACGAGGAGGCGGCUGGGGGCGGCUGCUGCCCAGACGGCAGCGGUUGUUCACGCUGCUGCUGCUGCUGCGCGGGGAGUGGUGGUUCGGGCGGCGGCUCGGGGGUCUCUGGCGGCCCCGGCGGCGGCGUUGGUGGUCCCGGCGGCGGCGGGGCGGGCACGGCGGCGCUGUGCCUGCGCCUCGGCAGGGAGCAACGGCGCUACUCGCUGUGGGACUGCCUCUGGAUCCUGGCCGCCGUAGCUGUGUACUUCGCGGACGUGGGUACAGACAUCUGGCUCGCCGUGGACUACUACUUGCGUGGCCAGCGCUGGUGGUUCGGACUCACGCUCUUCUUCGUGGUGCUAGGCUCUCUCUCCGUGCAAGUGUUCAGCUUCCGCUGGUUUGUGCACGAUUUCAGCACUGAGGACAGCGCCACAGCAGCCGCUGCCUCUAGCUGCCCGCAGCCUGGAGCGGAUUGCAAGACCAUGGUUAGUAGUGGGUCUGCGGCCGCAGUAGGUGAGGUUCGUCCUUCCACGCCGCAGAGGCAAGCAUCCAGCGCCAGCAAGAGCAACAUCACCGCUCCCAACAGCAACAGCAGCGGGGCCAGCAGCAAACACAGGUCUGCCUCCUGCUCCUUCUGCAUCUGGCUCCUGCAGUCACUCAUCCACAUCUUGCAGCUCGGGCAAAUCUGGAGAUAUUUCCACACAAUAUACCUAGGUAUUCGAAGCCGGCAGAGUGGGGAGAAGGACAGAUGGAGAUUUUACUGGAAAAUGGUGUAUGAAUAUGCAGAUGUGAGUAUGCUGCAUUUGCUCGCCACCUUUCUGGAAAGUGCUCCACAGCUGGUCCUGCAGCUCUGCAUUAUCGUACAGACUCAUAGCUUACAGGCCCUCCAAGGUUUCACAGCAGCAGCUUCCCUUGUGUCUUUGGCUUGGGCCUUGGCCUCGUACCAGAAGGCCCUCCGGGACUCUCGAGAUGACAAGAAGCCCAUCAGCUACAUGGCUGUUGUCAUCCAGUUCUGCUGGCACUUCUUCACUAUUGCUGCCAGGGUCAUCACCUUUGCCCUUUUUGCCUCGGUUUUCCAGCUGUACUUUGGGAUCUUCAUCGUCCUUCACUGGUGCAUCAUGACCUUCUGGAUUGUUCACUGUGAGACAGAAUUCUGUAUCACCAAAUGGGAGGAGAUCGUGUUCGACAUGGUGGUGGGGAUCAUUUACAUCUUCAGCUGGUUCAACGUCAAGGAAGGCAGGACACGCUGCAGGCUCUUCAUUUACUAUUUUGUGAUCCUUUUGGAAAAUACAGCCUUGAGUGCCCUCUGGUACCUCUACAAGGCUCCCCAGAUUGCAGAUGCAUUUGCCAUCCCAGCGCUGUGUGUGGUGUUCAGCAGCUUUUUAACUGGUGUUGUUUUUAUGCUAAUGUAUUAUGCCUUCUUUCAUCCCAAUGGACCCAGAUUCGGGCAGUCACCAAGUUGUGCUUGUGAGGACCCAGUCACUGCCUUCACUCUGCCUCCAGAAGUGGCCACAAGUACUCUGCGGUCAAUCUCCAACAACCGCAGUGUUGUCAGUGACCGCGACCAGAAAUUUGCAGAGCGGGAUGGGUGUGUGCCUGUCUUUCAGGUGAGACCCACAGCUCCAUCCACCCCAUCAUCUCGCCCACCACGGAUUGAAGAAUCUGUCAUUAAAAUUGACCUGUUUAGGAAUAGGUACCCAGCAUGGGAGAGACAUGUUUUGGACCGAAGCCUCCGAAAGGCCAUUUUAGCCUUUGAAUGUUCCCCGUCUCCUCCAAGGCUGCAGUACAAAGAUGAUGCUCUUACUCAGGAGCGGUUGGAGUAUGAAACCACUCUGUAAAACAAAAAGACUUGGAGGAGCCACAACCGCCAGAUAAAGGGGUGAUGGCAGGGCUAUGGCAAUGAUGAAACUCUAUUCUAGUGUAGGGAGAUAAGCUGUCAGACUCAUAGGCUGACCAUCCUAGUGAUUACUGUCUGACCCUCCACCAGCGGACUGCCCCCUGCUGGUCUUCUUUAAAAACAGCAGCCCUACAGUCUCCUCCACCUGGAGGGAAUAUGCCAGCUUAGUAGGGACUCCUUGUUGCUACCAACUUCUGCACUGUCUUUCAGCGCAUCCACCAGAGGGUCCUAUGAUUAUGGAAAAUGUUGCCUCUUAUCAGUAGGGUGUUUUGAUGAAAUUAACUGAUGUUUGCAUAAGAAUAUCCUUAGUUAUACACACAUACACACAUGCACACACAUAUGCAUACACUAACACACACACACACACACCAGUCCUUUGUCAAAAUAGCUUAGGUGAGUGUUCUUGAUGCAAAGCUCUGAUUCUCACAGGAAUAUACAAACAAAGAGAGAAUAUAUCCCUCAAGACUCCAGGAAAAAAGUAGUACUGCUUAGAUAAGAAUUCCUAAACCAUUCUCAUUUGGAAACCAAUACCACGUGUGAAAAGCCUGUCCAGUGGACAGCAAAUUUGUGUGUUUACAUGUGUAUUAGAAUUGAUGGCAUGGUUCAUUUUCAACACAUUUCAGGAUUGGUUUUUUGUUUUAAAAUUUCAGUUGAGAACAUCUUUUAUGACAGAAAUCCUAUGCAGCACAUGUAUGGCUUUUGGCAAGACCAAUGAGCUCAAUAACUUAGAGAUGUAAAUUAAAUGGUAAUCAUGAUUCAGUAUUGAACUGCAAAAAAUUUAGUAAGUACAGGAAGAGGAAGUGGGAAAAAAGGCAAAAUGAGCAUCUGAUUUCUCAGCCAGUGCAGCUGACAUGGGAAUAUAAGAACAGAUCAGCGGGAGAAGACCAGGCUGUAACUGGAUGUUUCAGGUCACAGAAUGCGUGGCUCUGUGUGAUCACCGGUAGGCUCAAUUCCAGAACACGCUAUGCCUCAUCUUUCUAGUGCCAAACACCAUCCAAUCAUGGAACUGACAUGGAUAACUGAGAAUGAGUGGCAUGAGCCCCACGAAGCAGAAGCUAGAAUGAACAAUCAAGUUCUCCACUGUGUACAGACUCCCCCACCACCACCAAUUCAAGGUCAAAGUGAUGUAUCUUUUAGAGGCUUUGGGACACUGUUUAAACCAUCUCGGAACUUUCAAGCUUUACUGAAGGUGAUUUGCAUUAAUUAAUUCAACAGACCCUUGAAUCUUGCAAAUUCUUGACUUGUAAUUUUGUAGCCCAGCUACAGCAAGGGAAAAUUAAGCAAUUAGUGGAAAGGAGCACUUCGUUCUGUGUCAUGAGGUGAUGUGCCCAGGCCUGAAGAGAAAGACCCCUUUGAAGUAGCGCACUCACGAAUUCGUGCUACCUGCUUCCUCAUCAUUCAUGCUCUGAAUAUUCAUCCACUUCAUUUGCUGUUGCCAGUAAGCACUGCUUUUGAAAAAAAAGGAAAAAAGCAUCAGUGGAUUCUUGGGGGCUUGAAUAGCUCAGAAAAUGAGUACUGGGUCAGAGGGACUCACUAUAAAUGAAUACAAAUUUACUUGUGAUUGAAAGCAAAAAAAAUGGUAUUGCAUUUGUUUAAUGAUUGAUCUGAGGAUAGCCACUGCCCUUACUUCAUUUCUUGAGAGCACCAUUAUCAACAUUGUAAUAACAAAUUCAUAAAAAUUGAAUUUCAGAAGUAAAAUCUGUACAGAUAUAGCAAUUGAAUAAUUUGAUUCCUGCCUUCCUAGAUGAUGACAUUGCCAGUUUCAAACAGAAGCAUUUGUAUGUGGAAUUGGUUCUCCUGUCACCUCUUAGACCUUUGCAAAACCUUGGUUGCAAGGUCUAAAAUCACCAAUUUCACAUUAUUAACUCACUUAUACUAAACAGAGGUCCCAAUUAAAAAUC